CUCCGCGGCGCCUGCACCCGACGACCCGGCUCAGCCCGCCGGCGACUCUGGCACGGUGGGUCAUCUGCUCCGUGCUCGUGUCGCCAUUGUUUGGUGUGCCGUGUGGGUUUCCGUUGCUGACGGGUUUGUCUGUGACUGGCCAGCUGACGACCCGGCAGAUCGUGGCGAGGCGGCUUGGCGGCUGCAGAAGGGUAUGUUCUCUUCCUCUGGUUCAGUGCUCUCCAGUGCUGGGUUGUAUGGAGAUCAGAUAUGUAUUGAAACUUACAUGGUGCAAUGGCAAUGCUGAUGAUUGAUGAUGCACGGAAAGGGAGAUUUGUGCCUAUAGGAUAUUGUAUUUAACAUAAAUAGCGCUAAUAUCUUUCUCAAGUGGUGUUGGUGGUUGGAGUUCACCUUAAAUAGUGUACUAAAUGAAAUGUCUAGGAUCUAUGAGAAGACGCUUCAAAUGCAUUGGCCUUACCUAGUGACCACUUGCUGUAAUCAUGGAAUAGAACCUCUAUUGACAUAUUGUGAUGGUUACAUUUCUGUACAUAGCGUACACUGCCGAACUCAUGGUUGGCACAUUAAUAUUAUGUAUUUACAUACACCCCAUAUGCAAAUUUCUCUUGUUUUGGUACCUAAUUGAGAGGACAAUGAAAUCACGCAUUUCAACCAUGUCAAUAGUUAAAUGAUUUAAAUAAUAACUAACCAUAAAAGACCACAGAACAAAAUGCGGAGAAUACCAUAGAGUGUGAGUAGUUCCUAGGACCCGACGCAGAGGGACAGUCUUGGUGAGUGUAGAGUGGGGUUUGAUAAUGGCUACUAAGUGUUAGGAAGUAUUAGUAUUAGUCUAGGAGUCCUUAUUAGUCUAUUAGUAUUAGUCUAGGAGUCCUUAUUAGUCUAUGUUUACUUUGCUUGCACCUCAAGUCAUGUGUAAUAUAUAUAUGCCCCUUGGGCCUUCAAUAUAGAUAAGUUGCUUUCCUAACAUGGUAUUAGAGCCUAGGUUUAGGUCUCCGGACGCCGCAACUCGUCCUCACGAUCCAAUUUUUUUUUCCGUUCCUGCACCAGCCG
rnacentral:lncRNA from 1 species